GACGUAGGGCGCGAGCGUUGUCCGGAUUUAUUGGGCGUAAAGAGCUCGUAGGCGGCUUGUCGCGUCGACCGUGAAAACUUGGGGCUCAACCCCAAGCCUGCGGUCGAUACGGGCAGGCUCGAGUUCGGUAGGGGAGACCGGAAUUCCUGGUGUAGCGGUGAAAUGCGCAGAUAUCAGGAGGAACACCGAUGGCGAAGGCAGGUCUCUGGGCCGAUACUGACGCUGAGGAGCGAAAGCGUGGGGAGCGAACAGG
rnacentral:rRNA from 1 species